GGACAUAUCAUAACGAAGAGGUAUCGUAAUUGAAGAGGUUUGGAAAGACCCACCACAGAAGGUAAUAGUCCUGUAUGUUAAACGAGAAGACUUCAGAUAUGAUCCAGAGUACCACGGGACACGUGAAACCCUGUGGGAAGCAGGAGGGACCACCCUCCAAGGCUAAAUACUACCUAGUGACCGAUAGCGUAUAGUACCGUGAGGGAAAGGUGAAAAGAACCCCGGGAGGGGAGUGAAAUAGAACCUGAAACCCUGCACUUACAAGCUGUGGAAGCACAUUUCUUGUGUGACCGCGUACUUUUUGUAGAACGGGCCAACGAGUUACGUUAAGUAGCAAGGUUAAGCACUUAAGGUGCGGAGCCGUAGCGAAAGCGAGUUUUAACUGAGCGUUCAGUUACUUGACGUAGACCCGAAACCGGGCGACCUACCCAUGAGCAGGAUGAAGCGAAAGUAAAAUUUCGUGGAGGUCCGAACCCACGAGCGUUGAAAAGCUCGGGGAUGACUUGUGGGUAGCGGUGAAAUUCCAAUCGAGCCCGGAGAUAGCUGGUUCUCCCCGAAAUAGCUUUAGGGCUAGCCUCAAGGUGAGAGAUACGGAGGUAGAGCACUGAAUGUCCUAGGGGGUAUUGCACCUACCGAAGACUAUCAAACUCCGAAUGCCGUCAUCUUAUACUUGGGAGUCAGACUGUGGGUGAUAAGAUUCAUAGUCGAAAGGGCAACAGCCCAGAUCGUCAGCUAAGGUCCCUAAAUGUAAGUUAAGUGGUAAAGGAUGUGGGAUUGCACAGACAACCAGGAUGUUGGCUUAGAAGCAGCCACUCAUUCAAAGAGUGCGUAAUAGCUCACUGGUCGAGUGAUCCUGCGCCGAAGAUUUCCGGGGCUAAAACUUACUACCGAAGCUACGGCAUCAGUAAUGAUGGGUAGGGGAGCUUCCCAUACGGGUUGAAGCAUGACCGUAAGGACAUGUGGACAGUAUGGGAGUGAGAAUGUUGGCAUGAGUAGCGAGAUGUGGGUGAGAAUCCCACAGGCCGUAAACCCAAGGUUUCCAGGGGAAGGUUCGUCCGCCCUGGGUUAGUCGGGACCUAAGCUGAGGCCGAAAGGCGUAGGUGAUGGACAACAGGUUGAUAUUCCUGUACUACCGAUAACCGUUUGAGAGAAGGGAUGACACAGUAGGAUAAGCUAAGCACACUGUUGGUUAUGUGUGCCCAAGCAUUGAGGCAGUCAAAGUAGGCAAAUCCGCUUUGAUAAUGCUGGGAUGUGAUGGGGAGCGAAAUUUAGUAGCGAAGUAGCUGAUUUCACACUGUCAAGAAAAGUCUCUAUCGAGGUUAAAGGUACCCGUACCGCAAACCGACACAGGUGGGUGAGGAGAGUAUCCUAAGGCCAGCGAGAGAACUGUUGUUAAGGAACUCGGCAAAAUGACCCCGUAACUUAGGGAUAAGGGGUGCCACCAUCAGGUGGCCGCAGAGAAUAGGCCCAAGCGACUGUUUACCAAAAACAUAGGUUUCUGCUAAGUCGCAAGACGAUGUAUAGGAGCUGACGCCUGCCCGGUGCUGGAAGGUUAAGGGGAUCUGUUAGAGCAAUCGAAGCAGUGAACUUAAGCCCCAGUAAACGGCGGCCGUAACUAUAACGGUCCUAAGGUAGCGAAAUUCCUUGUCGGGUAAGUUCCGACCCGCACGAAAGGCGUAACGAUUUGGGCACUGUCUCAACAACAGACUCGGUGAAAUUGUAAUUCCGGUGAAGAUGCCGGAUACCUGCGACAGGACGGAAAGACCCCAUGGAGCUU
rnacentral:rRNA from 1 species